GUGGCCGGUAGCAAUGGCUUGUGGUUCGUUUGGAGACUGCUUGCUUAUAACACUUGGCCAGAACGAAAAUCUAUCUAAUAUCCGUAGCGCCAUAAUGUGUAGUAUAGCCGACAUUUGGCGUAUGAAACGAAGAGACAUUA
rnacentral:snoRNA from 1 species